UUCUUCUUCUUUAUUGCCUCACUAAAUUCCCCCAAAUCUGAGAGCGCAUGCAUUGGCAGAAGUCUGAAACUGAAGACAAUGGCUUCCUCCAAAAAACCCACAGCAGAGAAAAAGAGGAAAGAAACCAAAUCCACAAAAACACCCAACAAGAAAAACAAUACCAGCACCACGAAAAACGACCCAGAAAAGAAUAACAAGACUUGCAAUGGCACCGUCAACGACAUCAUAUCGAUCCCAUCUUCCAGCAUAGAUGAAGAACAAGAGCGAAGCAAAAGCGCAAGUACAACCAAGAAAGCCGAUAGCACCGCAUCCAAGAAAGGCAAACAAAAACGACGAGAGGAAGAGGUAAACGACGUCGUUGAUGAAGAAGAAGGAGUUGGAGAGAAAGAGGUAAAUGACGCGAAGAUGCAUAGGUUUCCAAUGAAUCGUAUCAAGACUAUCGUUCGGAGCGAAGACUCCGGUUUGCGCAUAACCCAGGAGGCCCUGUAUCUCAUCAACAAAGCUACGGAUAAGUUUCUCGAGCAAUUUACAAAAGAUGCACAUGUGUGUUGUGUUCAGGACCGCAAAAAAACGCUGGGUUACAAGCACCUUUCGUUAGUCGUUUCUAAAAGGAGGAGAUACGACUUUCUUUCAGAUUUUGUCCCUGAGAAAAUAAAAGCUCAGGAUGCCUUGGCAGAGAGAAAAGUAACUGAGACAAAGGCAGGCUAGGACCUUCAAAAUGUGCUGAUUAGAAGGGUAUAAUAUAGUCAGGAAGAUGCGUUUUAGUGGGUUGCUUGUUUUGAUGGCCGGCGAGCUGGUUUGAAUUGAAUCAGAGUGCCCUAGGAUUCUUGAAUGGCCACCAUCUCAUCACUGAAAGUAUAGGCCACACAGAUAAAGAGCACCAGCUUGGUAUAGUUAGCAAUAGCCAUGAUUGUCUUUCCAGCCACAUCACUAGAAGCAUAGGCAACACCGAUUAAGAGCACCAUCUUGUUAUAGUUAGUAAUAGCCAUGAUUGUCUUCUCAGCCACACCAGACAUAUAGGCAACACAGAUUUAUGAAGCUCGCUGGGUUUUUUUUCCUUGAUUUUUGAUAGAGUAAUGUUAGAAAUUACAUUUUUAUUUCACAACAUUGAUAUGCCCGUCUCAACUAACCUUUGGAUUAAUCCUUAUUAAAAAAAGAAAAAAAAAAUUAAUUGAAGGGUCGAUUGAGAUUGUCAUACCAGCAUUAUGUGAUAGUUGUGGAAUAAUAAUGUGAUUUCUAGCAUCUAUUUUUUUGAUAUUAAAGCUUGUACUUGUAGUAGAAUGGAAGUGUAGAAGAGAGAUGUAUGGAUGAAUAAUGAAAUAGGGUUGUAUUUGUUGAA